AACCUCACCCAUCCAAAAUGAGAUUGAGACAUACAUCAGAAGAUCCCUUAGGUCCUGUCAUCCACCUAGGUACCUCUAGGACUAUCAUUGCAACUACCUAAGCUCUACACCUACAACCAAACAUAAGAACAUCAAAUACCCCCUUGACCAUGUUUUGUCUUAUAAUGCUUUAUCCAACCACUAGUUACACUUCACCCUAUCCA
rnacentral:lncRNA from 1 species